GACUCAAACCCGGAAUUCAUGUAGGGCAUGAAGAACCCGGAAAUAAUGGCGCGUGACAACACACAACCCGAAUUAAUUAAUUACUGAGGGUGUAGGAGUAGGGGAGUUCCAGUUUGUUGGCAAGGACAGGAAAGGGGUGAAGGUGACCCCACACUCUCCGUCUUCAGCCGGUGCUCCGGAUCCACGGCCCCCAAGUGAACCUGCUGUCGCGAGCACGAACAGGAGUCGGAUCCCAGGCUGUGAGCGCUUAAACGUCUCACUCGCCCCGAGGCCUGCAUCGAAUACUGGGCAAGUGGGGACUGGAACCUGACUACAAGAGUCUCCAGCAUUUUUCUAUAUUUCCAGUCCCUAUUCAGAAGAUGUAACCACUAAAGGCCCUGAAUGCCUAGGAUUGCAGGCUGCACCACCGUGCCUGACUAUUUCUGACGGAAGAAACCUCCCAUGGAAAUGCUGCACGCCGGCCCAGCUGGUUGCUCGAGCCGGGACUGCACUAAAAUGGAAUCGGGAAAGAGCCGUGGUCAGCU